GGUCCUUGUCAUCUUAAUUUUUAUUCCAAUUCUCUUAGCCUUUUGGAGGAUUUUUUGUUAUUUAUCAAGAUCUUGUCUAGGCUAGAGAAGAAGAAUAAAGAGAAUUGGACAAGAUGAGCCUAUUGUAAGAAAGAAGGAAGAGUUUGGACUGAGCGAUGACUCCUCGACGUGCACCCCUAUUUAUAUUGCACGUAGGGGUGCAAACCAAGCAUCUCAUGCACACUCACACCUCAUAUCACACCUCCUCUCAAUUUCUCACACUCUAUUUGAUGAGAAAAAUCCAUGUGGACAUCAAAGUUGGGUUGAAGAGGCGCCUUAUUUUAGAAGGACUCUCCGAACUCAACUUACGGUG
rnacentral:lncRNA from 1 species